rnacentral:tRNA from 1 species
AGAAACUUAGGUUAACAUUUAAACCAAGAGCCUUCAAAAGCCUAAACAGAGGAUAAACCUNUAGUCUCUG